rnacentral:rRNA from 1 species
GAUGAACGCUGGCGGCGUGCCUAAUACAUGCAAGUCGAGCGAACGGACGAGAAGCUUGCUUCUCUGAUGUUAGCGGCGGACGGGUGAGUAACACGUGGAUAACCUACCUAUAAGACUGGGAUAACUUCGGGAAACCGGAGAUACUACCGGAUAAUAUUUUGAACCGCAUGGUUCAAAAGUGAAAGACGGUCUUGCUGUCACUUAUAGAUGGAUCCGCGCUGCAUUAGCUAGUUGGUAAGGUAACGGCUUACCAAGGCAACGAUGCAUAGCCGACCUGAGAGGGUGAUCGGCCACACUGGAACUGAGACACGGUCCAGACUCCUACGGGAGGCAGCAGUAGGGAAUCUUCCGCAAUGGGCGAAAGCCUGACGGAGCAACGCCGCGUGAGUGAUGAAGGUCUUCGGAUCGUAAAACUCUGUUAUUAGGAAAGAACAUAUGUGUAAGUAACUGUGCACAUCUUGACGGUACCUAAUCAGAAAGCCACGGCUAACUACGUG